UUUUCGAGAGAAAGUCUCCUCUUCUCUCUGGGUCGACCCAGAUCUCGGUCAAGGGACCGAGGAGCUCUGCCGCAGGCCCAUCGCCAAUCACUGUCGCCGCCGCAGCUCCGUCGCCGGCGACCGCCAUGUACGGCGGUCGGAGGUCAAAAUUUCCCCCUUUUCUUCGGCGCUUCGAAAGGUGGUGGUGGCAGACGGUGGACGUGACAGACGGCAUGGGGUGGCUAGGAUCUGUCAGUGGCUAGGGGACAGAAGCCCUAGGUGCACAAAAUUUUUGUUGUUUUUUUGUUAUGGUUUGGGCUACAUGGUUUGGGGCUUUGUGGGUCUAUUUUGGGUUUAAUUUGUAAAAGGCCCGGGCUAAUUUGGGCUUCUUCAUGAAACAUUUUGACCUUUCGAGGCUUAAUAAUGGUCCCAAAUACCUCUGAAUAUUUAAAAAACAAGUUAAAUGAUUUCAACAUGA